rnacentral:rRNA from 1 species
ACGGGAGGCAGCAGUGAGGAAUAUUGGACAACGGAUGGAAAUCUGAUCCAGCCAUGCCGCGUGCAGGAAGACGGCCUUAUGGGUUGUAAACUGCUUUUAUACGGGAGCAAUAAGUGUUACGAGUAAUCCGAUGAGAGUACUGUAUGAAUAAGGAUCGGCUAACUCCGUGCCAGCAGCCGCGGUAAUACGGAGGAUCCGAGCGUUAUCCGGAAUUAUUGGGUUUAAAGGGUGCGUAGGCGGCCAUUUAAGUCAGCGGUGAAAUUUUGCAGCUUAACUGUAACAGUGCCGUUGAUACUGUUUGGCUAGGAUUUGGUUGUAGUGUGCGGAAUGUGUGGUGUAGCGGUGAAAUGCUUAGAUAUCACACAGAACGCCGAUUGCGAAGGCAGCACACUAAGUCAUUAUUGACGCCGAGGCACGAAAGUGUGGGGAUCAAACGGGAUUAGAUACCCUGGUAGUCCACACUGUAAACGAUGAUAACUCGCUGUCGGCGAUACACAGUCGGUGGCCAAGCGAAAGCAUUAAGUUAUCCACCUGGGGAGUACGACCGCAAGGUUGAAACUCAAAGGAAUUGACGGGGGCCCGCACAAGCGGAGGAACAUGUGGUUUAAUUCGAUGAUACGCGAGGAACCUUACCCGGGCUCGAACGGUGCAUGAAUAUACGAGAGAUUGUAUAGUCCUUCGGGACAUGUAUCGAGGUGCUGCAUGGUUGUCGUCAGCUCGUGCCGUGAGGUGUCGGCUUAAGUGCCAUAACGAGCGCAACCCUUGUCAUUAGUUGCCAUCAGGUCAAGCUGGGGACUUUAAUGAGACUGCCACCGUAAGGUGUGAGGAAGGGGGGGAUGACGUCAAAUCAGCACGGCCCUUAUGUCCGGGGCGACACACGUGUUACAAUGGGAGGUACAGAGGGCAGCUAUCCGGUGACGGAAUGCUAAUCUCCAAAACCUUUCUCAGUUCGGAUUGGAGUCUGCAACUCGACUCCAUGAAGGUGGAUUCGCUAGUAAUCGCGCAUCAGCCAUGGCGCGGUGAAUACGUUCCCGGGCCUUGUACAAAGCCCCCGUCAAG